rnacentral:rRNA from 1 species
UACGUAGGGUCCGAGCGUUGUCCGGAAUUACUGGGCGUAAAGAGCUCGUAGGUGGUUUGUCGCGUUGUUCGUGAAAACUCACAGCUUAACUGUGGGCGUGCGGGCGAUACGGGCAGACUUGAGUACUGCAGGGGAGACUGGAAUUCCUGGUGUAGCGGUGGAAUGCGCAGAUAUCAGGAGGAACACCGGUGGCGAAGGCGGGUCUCUGGGCAGUAACUGACGCUGAGGAGCGAAAGCUAGGGGAGCAAACGGG